rnacentral:rRNA from 1 species
UUAAUUGAAGAGUUUGAUCAUGGCUCAGAUUGAACGCUGGCGGCAGGCCUAACACAUGCAAGUCGAGCGGCAGCACAGAGGAACUUGUUCCUUGGGUGGCGAGCGGCGGACGGGUGAGUAAUGCCUGGGAAAUUGCCCGGUAGAGGGGGGAUAACCAUUGGAAACGAUGGCUAAUACCGCAUAACCUCGCAAGAGCAAAGCAGGGGACCUUCGGGCCUUGCGCUACCGGAUAUGCCC